UAGCCUAAUGGAAAUAAUAAUACAAAGUUUUUACCCAAUGGACAACAAAAUAUUUAUGGGAGGAUUAUUAGUGAAUUGCCCAUUUCAUUUUGUAAACACAUUUCAUUCUUCCAACAUCUCAUUUUCUCUCCAUCUUCUUCUUCUAUCUUUUGCUCCCAAGCUAGCCAACUUCAAAGAGAGAAAAGAGAGAGAGGGUUUCGGCUAUAGAGAGAAGAGAUAGGAG
rnacentral:lncRNA from 1 species